ACGCACGGUUUGUGCCGAAACCAGGAUAAGAUCAUUAGCAUGUAUCUGUUCUUGACACAAAAUCAUGCGCUACUUACCCUCCACGCAUCGCUGGAGCCAGAUGAAUAUAUACGACAACAAGACUUGAAGGUAGUAUGUACGUUUAGUGUAAUCAGGUGAGUAUAUAUGGGGUUCAUAAAAAAAUUAAAAAGGUAUUUAAACUCUAUAUUUCACACCUUAAUUUGUUGAAUUAAUUUUGAGCAAAGUCCCUCAAUGUCACUGAAAUUAUACCACUUCCCUCGUUGCUAUUGAAAUUCUUCAAUUCUGCAAAUACUUCAAUUUUCCAUUCCCU
rnacentral:lncRNA from 1 species